rnacentral:lncRNA from 1 species
CUGCUUACUGCUAGUUAGGGGUUAACGGUAAAAAAAGUUUAUAAAAUAUUUUAAGUGUAAAAAAAAAAAAAAAUGUCAAAAAGAUUAAAAAUGAGUUUUAAAAAGUAAAAAAAUACAUUGGAAAAUGCUCAUUACCACUACCCUUGGAACAUACUAGCGAAAAAAUGAUCCCACGGUAAGGUUCAAAAUAUAACUUUUGAAUUACCCUGGGGUGUAGUCUUUAAUAAAUAGUAUGUGUUUGUGGGGAAGUUUGAAUAACCAGCCAGCUACACUACUCCAAAAUGGAACAUGGACACAGCGUUAAACUUCAAAGUUAGAAAAAAACUGAAUGGAUGCGUUUCAAAUGUGCCCCUUCAACAUCCACAUAUACCUGGCAAAAGUACAUACGGGGGUAUUGCUGUACUCAGACGACAUAGCUGAGCAACAUAUGAAGUAUUAUACAGUCGUGGCACACAUAAGGUUUGCAAAAUAUACUGUGCAAACUCACUCUGUGUGUCAAAAAGUCAUCUGAAAUAAUUACCCCUAAAUCCCUUUCCUCAGAUGUUGAGGUUAGUAGUGUAUCAAAUAUUCUACACUCUGCUCUUGAGUUUUUAUGCCGAAGAUGCAUUAUCUUGCAUUUAUCCACAUUAAAUGUCAGUUGCCACAGCUCUGACCCAGGGCCGGUGCAAGGAUUUUUGCCGCCCUAGGCAAAAUAAAAAUUUUACACCCCCCCCCCCCAUUUGCGCUGCCCACCAUGUAACAUCACAAUGCCCAACCCAUAUGAUUUGUCAUAUGAACCAACUUCAGUUCUGCACACAGUGUGUUUACAUUAAAAACGGGAACGGGAACUAGCUCCAUUUUUGGGGGCCCCUUACACAGCUCUAGGUCUGCACCCCCACGGCCGGACAGUGAGUAUGCCCAUAAGGCCCACCCAUAGAGGAUCUAAUGUGUGUGCUUAUGGAAUGUAGAGUAUAUGGAUACCAGAUUGUGUAGGCGAUGCAGUGUGUGUGUAGUGGAUGCAGUGUGUUUUUGUGUAAAGGAUAGAAAGUAUUGUGUGUUUGUGUGUAAGGGAUGUAUUGUGUGUGUAAGGGAUUCAUUGUAUGAAUCUGUGUUUGUAUGUGUAAGGGAUGCAAGGUGUGUUUAUGUGUAUGUAAGGGAUGCAGUGUGUGUGUCUGUAAGGGCAGGGCCGGAUUAACAUAGGGGCUGAUGGAGCUGCAGCUCCAGGCCCAUGGAAUAGGCCCAUUUAAAAAACAAACCCCCCCACUUUUUUUUUUUUUACACACUACUCUUAGGUCUGCCAUCUGACUGGUAUUUUACAAGCACAGACGGUAUUUGAGGCUGCCUGGCCGUGCCGGUAUUGCAGUAAUACCGGCAUUACAAAUGCAGAUAUUUUUCUCAGUCUAAAAGGAGAUUCCUCUGCAAUACCAGCAACCAGCCAGCACUGUGUGGAGAGAGGAAGGGAUAGGAAGUUUCAGCAUAUCCCUCCCUGCCUCUCUCUACUCACUAAUCCGCGGGGGAGCAGCUACAGAGCACAGAGAGUCUAGACAGCAGUUCCCAGCCUGCAGAGACAGCCUACAGCUCAGGGAAGUAAGGGAUGAGGGGAAAGGCAGCAGGGAGACAUGGGGACAUUGAGACACUAAAGGACACAUGGGGACACUGGGAGACCUGGGGACACUGAGACACUAGGGGACACUGUGAGACAUGGGGAUGCUGUGAGACAUAGGGACAUUGGGAUACACAUUGGGACGCGGAGACACUAGGAACACAGUGUCCCCAUGUCUCCCAGCCAGUGUCCCUAGUGUCUCUGUGUCCCCAGGUCUCCCAGUGUCCCUAAAUGUCUGUGUCCCCAUGUCUCCCAGUGUCUACAUGUCCCCCAGCCAGUGUCCCUAGUGUCUCAGUGUCCCCAUGUCUCCCAGCCAGUGUCCCUAGUGUCUGUGUCCCCAUGUCUGCCAGUGUCUGUGUUCCCAUGUCUCUGUGUCUUUAGUGUCCCCAAAUGUCUGUGUCCCCAUGCCUCCCAGCCAGUGUCCCUAGUGCCUCAGUAUCCCCAUGUCUCCCAGUGUCCCCUAGUAUCCCUAGUGUCUUAGUGUUCCCAAAUGUCUCAGUGUCCCUAUAUAUGUCAUGAUCUUGUGCAGGCCAGAUAGGGGAUUUAUGCCAGGGUUGAUUUCAGGUACUUUUUUUUUGUGAUUUUAGACAUAUUAUGAAACUUGAGGCAAAACAGAAUUUAGGUAAUAUGCCACAAAACAGGAUAAAUAAUAAUAAUGUCUAAUUUCCAGGUAGGCUGGUUACAAAGGUAGGCUGGUUUGAAGUAUAAGUAAGGAUGGAGCAGGUUAUUGUUAGGAGUAGUUCUUCCACUGUUACCUGGAAAUUACAGGCAUUCAUUAUUAUUUGCAAGUAACCUGUUCUGUGGCAAGUAUCCUGUUUGGUGGCAUAUUGCCUAAAGUCUGUUUUCAUUCAAGUUUCAUAAUAUGUCUAAAAACACUAAUAAAGUACCUGAAGUUAACCCUGG